rnacentral:rRNA from 1 species
UACAGAGGUCCCAAGCGUUGUUCGGAUUCACUGGGCGUAAAGGGUGCGUAGGUGGCGGGGUAAGUUUGAUGUGAAAGCUCCGAGCUCAACUCGGAAAUGGCAUUGAAUACUAUUCUGCUAGAGGGUUGGAGGGGAGACUGGAAUUCUUGGUGUAGCAGUGAAAUGCGUAGAUAUCAAGAGGAACACCAGUGGCGAAAGCGAGUCUCUGGACAACUCCUGACACUGAUGCACGAAAGCUAGGGGAGCAAACAGG